GGUGCAAGUUUGGGUCCGCCUCGAGAUUUGCCACUCGUCCUCUGAUUAGCACUCUAGGAGGAGCCGCAGCAACAAGCAGUGGAGGAGGAAGGAGAGGUUGGCUUGCUACACCUUCAACGUUAUCAAGAGGAACGUAUCACACCGCGCCGCCACAACCAAGACGUCACACGCCAGCACGGGGUCACGUCGUCAACUGGACGGCAUGUCAGGUCAGGUCAGGUCAGUUAAGGUCACGUCAGCGCAUGUCCAUCACGGGGAGAGGCGGCGAGGGAA